rnacentral:lncRNA from 1 species
GGGGCAUAACUCUUUUACGAAUAAUUGAUUGGCACUAAUUUCGAACUCGUCAAAGACAUUGCUGAUAUAAACCUAUAGUAUAAGUUUUAUUAAAUUCUGGCGUGAAUUGUUUACAUGAGAACGCUUCCAAUACAAUUUUUAAUAUACUGAAGAUUUCAAAGGAGCGUAACACCUCUUUUAAAACUAAGUUAUCGGCACUUUUUUGGAAUCUCC